rnacentral:rRNA from 1 species
AUACGUAGGGGGCGAGCGUUGUCCGGAAUGAUUGGGCGUAAAGGGCGCGUAGGCGGCCCGGUAAGUCUGGAGUGAAAGUCCUGUUUUUAAGAUGGGAAUUGCUUUGGAUACUGUCGGGCUUGAGCGCAGGAGAGGUAAGUGGAAUUCCCAGUGUAGCGGUGAAAUGCGUAGAGAUUGGGAGGAACACCAGUGGCGAAGGCGACUGAAUGGACUGUAACUGGCGCUGACGCGCGAAAGUGUGGGGAGCAAACUGGAUUAGAUACCCUUGUAGUCCACACUGUAAACGAUUAAUUCUAGGUGUAGGGUGUAUCGACCCCUUCUGUGCCGCAGUCAACACAAUAAGCAUUCCGCCUUGGGAGUCCGGCCUCAAGGUUGAAACUCAAAUGAAUUGACAAGG